GAGAGACGCAGUUUGGAGGAGGAGGUUGAAGCUCCAGCUGUUGGACCCGAGAGUGACCAGAGUGAUGCUGAGACAUGGAGGCACAAGCCAAAGAGAAUGAGACAGCCCCGGCGUGUCUACACAUAUGAAAAACUAGGCCAGCCAACCGUCCAGCAAUGGAGCACAUGCCCUGUCAGUGUGAACAGCCCUUCAAGUGGCAUCCAUCAUUCCUCUGUCCCACCAUCAUUCAUAUUCGGCGGGCCCACCAAUACUUCGAGGGAUAACCCACCCUUCAGUACAAAAGGACUAUGAACAUUUAGUUUUGUAUCGUGACCAUGAGAGUCUUGUCCUGAGAUACUAAGAGAUGGUUCAACAUUGCAAGUGACCAAUCACCUUCUUGUGACGUCAUUCCUUUGCGACUUCGAAAUACCCGCCUUCGAUUAUUUCGAAAUACAAGUGAAGAAGUGAAAAACCGCCGCCUGUCCGCCGAAUUUGAAGUCAAUUCGCCUGUCCGCCGAAUUUGAAGUCAAUUUAGGAUACUUUCCUUUAAUAAACGGUAAGCAUUAUACAUAUGUUCCUCACUUGGCUUGCUGUUUGUUUGCUAGCGAUAGGCUACUUGACAACAGCAUUAGCUAACCAGUGUUCUCUAGACCAGCGUUCCCCAACUUUUUGGGUGUUUCGUGGCCCGGGGGUUGGGUCAGGCAAAAUUGCAGUAGCUUCCCUGAUCAUUUUACAAACAUAAGUGAAGAGAAUCUGGACUAAAAGGCCUAGACUUAUGGUUGUGUGCUGAAUCUAUGAAUCAAACUAUCACCUGGAAACAUAAUUAACUGGUCCAUAGCUGUGAAACUGGACAU
ensembl:lncRNA